rnacentral:rRNA from 1 species
GACGAACGCUGGCGGCGUGCUUAACACAUGCAAGUCGAACGGAAAGGCCCUGCUUUUGUGGGGUGCUCGAGUGGCGAACGGGUGAGUAACACGUGAGUAACCUGCCCUUGACUUUGGGAUAACUUCAGGAAACUGGGGCUAAUACCGGAUAGGAGCUCCUGCUGCAUGGUGGGGGUUGGAAAGUUUCGGCGGUUGGGGAUGGACUCGCGGCUUAUCAGCUUGUUAGUGGGGUAGUGGCUUACCAAGGCUGUGACGGGUAGCCGGCCUGAGAGGGUGAGCGGCCGCAUUGGGACUUAGGUCGGGCCCAGUCUCCUAAGGGAGGCAGCAGUGGGGAAUAUUGAUCAAUGGAUGCAAGCCUGAUGCAGCAACGCCGCGUGCGGGAUAGCAGCCUUCGGGUUGUAAACCGCUUUCGGCUGUGACGAAGCGUGAGUGACGGUAAUGGGUAAAGAAGCACCGGCUAACUACGUG